AGAGUUUGAUCCUGGCUCAGGAUGAACGCUAGCGGCAGGCCUAACACAUGCAAGUCGAGGGGCAGCACAGGUAGCAAUACUGGGUGGCGACCGGCGGAUGGGUGCGUAACGCGUAUGCAACCUACCAUUGAUUGGGGCAUAGCCCGAAGAAAUUCGGAUUAAUACUCCAUAAUAUUCAUCAAAGGCAUCUUUUAUGAAUUAAAGCUUUUGCGAUCAAUGAUGGGCAUGCGUGACAUUAGUUAGUUGGUGAGGUAACGGCUCACCAAAACGAUGAUGUCUAGGGGUUCUGAGAGGAUUAUCCCCCACACUGGUACUGAGACACGGACCAGACUCCUACGGGAGGCAGCAGUGAGGAAUAUUGGUCAAUGGACGCAAGUCUGAACCAGCCAUGCCGCGUGCAGGAUGACGGCCCUAUGGGUUGUAAACUGCUUUUCCACGGGAAGAACCCUCCGACGUGUCGGAGACUGACGGUACCGUGGGAAUAAGCAUCGGCUAACUCCGUGCCAGCAGCCGCGGUAAUACGUAGGUGGCGAGCGUUAUCCGGAUUUACUGGGUGUAAAGGGCGCGCAGGCGGCCCUGGAAGUCAGAUGUGAAAGAUCAAGGCUUAACUUUGACAGGUCAUCUGAAACUUUGGGGCUUGAGUAUCAGAGGGGAAAGUGGAAUUCCUAGUGGAGCGGUAAAAUGCACAGAGAUUAGGAGGAACACCGGUGGCGAAGGCGACUUUCUAGCUGACAACUGACGCUGAGGCGCGAAAGCGUGGGGAGCAAACAGGAUUAGAUACCCUGGUAGUCCACGCUGUAAACGAUGAUUACUGGGUGUAGGGAGUAUCGACUCUCUCUGUGCCGGAAGGCAAACGCGAUAAGUAAUCCACCUGGGGAGUACGGCCGCAAGGCUAAAACUCAAAGGAAUUGACGG
rnacentral:rRNA from 1 species